rnacentral:rRNA from 1 species
GAUGAACGCUAGCUACAGGCUUAACACAUGCAAGUCGGGGGGAAACGAUGAGAGAGCUUGCUCUCUUAGGCGUCGACCGGCGCACGGGUGAGUAACGCGUAUCCAACCUACCCAUUACAGGGGGAUAACCUUGCGAAAGUAAGACUAAUACCCCAUGGCAUUUUAUGGUGGCAUCAUUAUAGGAUUAAAGAUUUAUUGGUAAUGGAUGGGGAUGCGUCUGAUUAGCUUGUUGGCGGGGUAACGGCCCACCAAGGCAACGAUCAGUAGGGGUUCUGAGAGGAAGGUCCCCCACAUUGGAACUGAGACACGGUCCAAACUCCUACGGGAGGCAGCAGUGAGGAAUAUUGGUCAAUGGGCGAGAGCUUGAACCAGCCAAGUAGCGUGCAGGCUGACGGCCCUAUGGGUUGUAAACUGCUUUUAUAGGGGAAUAAAGUGAGAUACGUGUAGUUUAUUGCAUGUACCCUAUGAAUAAGGACCGGCUAAUUCCGUG